UGCGGAGGAUGCGAGCGUUAUCCGGAUUUAUUGGGUUUAAAGGGUGCGUAGGCGGUCCGUUAAGUCAGCGGUAAAAUUGCGGGGCUCAACCCCGUCGAGCCGUUGAAACUGGCAGACUUGAGUUGGCGAGAAGUACGCGGAAUGCGCGGUGUAGCGGUGAAAUGCAUAGAUAUCGCGCAGAACUCCGAUUGCGAAGGCAGCGUACCGGCGCCAGACUGACGCUGAGGCACGAAAGCGUGGGGAUCGAACAGG
rnacentral:rRNA from 1 species